AUUGAACGCUGGCGGCAGGCCUAACACAUGCAAGUCGAGCGGUUGAGGGGAGCUUGCUCCCUGAUUCAGCGGUGGACGGGUGAGUAAUGCCUAGGAAUCUGCCUAUUAGUGGGGGACAACGUUUCGAAAGGAACGCUGAUACCGCAUACGUCCUACGGGAGAAAGCAGGGGACCUUCGGGCCUUGCGCUAAUAGAUGAGCCUAGGUCGGAUUAGCUAGUUGGUGAGGUAAUGGCUCACCAAGGCGACGAUCCGAAACUGGUCUGAGAGGAUGAUCAGUCACACUGGAACUGAGACACGGUCCAGACUCCUACGGGAGGCAGCAGUGGGGAAUAUUGGACAAUGGGCGAAAGCCUGAUCCAGCCAUGCCGCGUGUGUGAAGAAGGUCUUCGGAUUGUAAAGCACUUUAAGUUGGGAGGAAGGGUUGUAGAUUAAUACUCUGCAAUUUUGACGUUACCGACAGAAUAAGCACCGGCUAACUCUGUGCCAGCCGCCGCGGUAACAC
rnacentral:rRNA from 1 species